ensembl:lncRNA
GUCUCAGUUAGUGAGGUCAGUCAUGUUUUGGAGAGGAAUAGUGACUCCAAUGACUGCUGGGGCUUGUGUCACAUCUGAGAUGUGAAAGAGACAGAGUGGGAGGGUGAAGAGAUGGGGUCAGAGAGAGGUAGCGAGAGAGAGGUAGAGAGAGAGCCAGAGGUAGAGAGAAAGAGGGGUAGAGAGGUAGAGAGAGCCAGAGAGAGGUGGAGAGAACUGUAGAGAGAGAGCCAGAGGGAGGUAGAGAGAACUGUAGAGAGAGAGCCAGAGGGAGAGAGAGAGCCAGAGGGAGAGAGGGAGAGA